GACGUAGGGGGCAAGCGUUGUUCGGAAUUAUUGGGCGUAAAGCGCUCGUAGGCGGGACAGGAAGUUCGUGUUGAAAGACCUCGGCUCAACUGAGGGACCGGCUCGAAUACUCUUGUUCUUGAGGCAAUCAGAGGGUGAUGGAAUUCCCGGUGUAGCGGUGAAAUGCGUAGAUAUCAGGAGGAACACCGGUGGCGAAGGCGGGUCUCUGGGCAGUAACUGACGCUGAGGAGCGAAAGCGUGGGGAGCGAACAGG
rnacentral:rRNA from 1 species